GACGAACGCUGGCGGCGUGGAUUAGGCAUGCAAGUCGAACGGUAUCAUCCUUUCGGGGGUGAGAGAGUGGCGAACUGGUGAGUAACACGUAGGUUAUCUACCCUCAAGACGGGGACAACCCAGGGAAACUUGGGCUAAUACCGGAUGUGAGCAACUUUUAGUUGUUUGAAAGGUGGCGUAAGCUGUCGCUUGGGGAUGAGCCUGCGUCCUAUUAGUUAGUUGGUGAGGUAACGGCUCACCUAGGCAAUGAUAGGUAGGCGGCCUUAACGGGUGGUCGCCCACACUGGGAUUGAGAUACGGCCCAGACUCCUACGGGAGGCAGCAGUCGAGAAUAGUCUACAAUGGUCGGAAGACUGAUAGUGCGACGCCGCGUGAACGAUGAAUCCCUUCGGGGUGUAAAGUUCUUUUAUAUGUGAGCAGUGCUUCUUAUAUUAACAGUAUGGGGAGAGAGAUAUUAGCAUAUGAAUAAGCAACGGCUAACUCCGUGCCAGCAGCCGCGGUAAUC
rnacentral:rRNA from 1 species